CCUACGGGGGGCUGCAGUGAGGAAUAUUGGUCAAUGGACGAGAGUCUGAACCAGCCAAGUCGCGUGAAGGAUGACUGCCCUAUGGGUUGUAAACUUCUUUUAUAUGGGAAUAAAACGUUCCACGUGUGGGAUUUUGUAUGUACCAUAUGAAUAAGGAUCGAAUAACUCCGUGCCAGCAGCCGCGGUAAUACCGAGGAUCCGAGCGUUAUCCGGAUUUAUUGGGUUUAAAGGGAGCGUAGGUGGAUUGUUAAGUCAGUUGUGAAAGUUUGCGGCUCAACCGUAAAAUUGCAGUUGAAACUGGCAGUCUUGAGUACAGUAGAGGUGGGCGGAAUUCGUGGUGUAGCGGUGAAAUGCUUAGAGAUCACGAAGAACUCCGAUUGCGAAGGCAGUUCACUGGACUGCAACUGACGCUGAGGCUCGAAAGUGUGGGGAUCAAACAGGAUUAGAUACCCGGGUAGUC
rnacentral:rRNA from 1 species